rnacentral:rRNA from 1 species
CAGUCGCCGCGGGAAUACAGAGGGUGCAAGCGUUAAUCGGAUUUACUGGGCGUAAAGGGCGCGUAGGUGGUUAUUUAAGUGAGAUGUGAAAGCCCCGGGCUUAACCUGGGAACUGCAUCUUAUACUGGGUAACUGGAGUGCAGUAGAGGGUAGUGGAAUUCCACGUGUAGCGGUGAAAUGCGUAGAGAUGUGGAGGAACACCAGUGGCGAAGGCGACUCUCUGGUCUGUAACUGACGCUGAGGAGCGAAAGCGUGGGGAGCGAACAGGAUUAGAUACCCCAGUAGUCCCUGUCUCUUAUAC